rnacentral:rRNA from 1 species
GAUGAACGCUGGCGGCGUGCCUAAUACAUGCAAGUCGAGCGAACAGAUGAGGAGCUUGCUCCUCUGACGUUAGCGGCGGACGGGUGAGUAACACGUGGAUAACCUACCAAUAAGACUGGGAUAACUUCGGGAAACCGGAGCUAAUACCGGAUAAUAUAUUGAACCGCAUGGUUCAAUAGUGAAAGACGGUUUUGCUGUCACUUAUAGAUGGAUCCGCGCCGCAUUAGCUAGUUGGUAAGGUAACGGCUUACCAAGGCAACGAUGCGUAGCCGACCUGAGAGGGUGAUCGGCCACACUGGAACUGAGACACGGUCCAGCCUCCUACGGGAGGCAGCAGUAGGGAAUCUUCCGCAAUGGGCGAAAGCCUGACGGAGCAACGCCGCGUGAGUGAUGAAGGUCUUCGGAUCGUAAAACUCUGUUAUUAGGGAAGAACAAAUGUGUAAGUAACUAUGCACGUCUUGACGGUACCUAAUCAGAAAGCCACGGCUAACUACGU